AACGUAGGAGGCAAGCGUUAUCCGGAUUUACUGGGCGUAAAGGGCGUGCAGGUGGUCUGUUAAGUGGUGCGUGAAAGCGCCCGGCUCAACCGGGCGAGUGCGUGCCAAACUGGGAGACUGGAAACAGGCAGAGGAAAGUGGAAUUCGGGGUGUAGUGGUGAAAUGCGUAGAGAUCCCGAGGAACUCCUGUGGCGAAGGCGACUUUCUGGGCCUGCUUUGACACUCAGACGCGAAAGCAUGGGGAGCGAACGGG
rnacentral:rRNA from 1 species